rnacentral:hammerhead_ribozyme from 2 species
AAGCGAAACCGGCUCGAUGAUGGCCGGUCUGCCCAGCGCGGUGGCUGGGUACUGAUGAGCAGCCAAGG